UACGUAGGGUGCAAGCGUUAAUCGGAAUUACUGGGCGUAAAGCGUGCGUAGACGGUCAUGUAAGUCGGGUGUGAAAGCCCCCGGCUCAACUGGGGAGGGUCACUCGAUACUGAUCGACUCGAAGGCAGGAGAGGGUAGUGGAAUUCCCGGUGUAGUGGUGAAAUGCGUAGAUAUCGGGAGGAACACCAGUGGCGAAGGCGACUACCUGGCCUGUUCUUGACGCUGAGGCGCGAAAGCUAGGGGAGCAAACGGG
rnacentral:rRNA from 1 species